UACAUACUCCCUUCGUCCGGAAAUAUUUGUCAUCAAAAUGAAUAAAAGAGGAUGUAUCUAGAUGUAUUUUAGUUCUAAAUACAUCCCUUUUUAUCCAUUUUGAUGACAAGUAUUUUUGGACGGAGAGAGUACCUA
rnacentral:pre_miRNA from 1 species